GCCUCGGUAGUGUGGUGGUUAGAGCCCGCGUCCCCGCAUAGGAUGAAAACGCGGGUCCGAUUCCUGUCUGAGGCC